AUGCACCCGCCUCCACUACCUAACUGGCUUCGAGAAGAGCUUCUAAAGAAAAAAUCAACUCUAGUGAGUGCUUCAGUGCAACAUCCGACAAAUUCUGAUUCCAUGGAAUCUGAAGAUGCCGCAGAACCACCAAAAAGAGCUAAGCAAACUGGCAGUAGAAGCAUUGGUACAACAAAACCAAUCGAAGUUGAUGAGGAUGAAGUCGAAGCGGCACGGAUGGCAUCAGUCAACAAGGAAAUUAAACGUGUGUUGACAGAAGUUCUUCUGAAGGUUUCUGAUGAUCUUUUUGAUGAGACCGCAACCAAAGUUAUGAAUGAAGAUGAUUUAUGA
rnacentral:rRNA from 1 species